AGAGUUUGAUCAUGGCUCAGGAUGAACGCUAGCUACAGGCUUAACACAUGCAAGUCGAGGGGGCAGCAUGGAAGUUGCUUGCAACUUCUGGUGGCGACCGGCGAAUGGGUGAGUAACGCGUAUCUAACCUGCCCUGUGCCGGGAAUAGCCCUUGGAAACGAGGAUUAACGCCCGAUGGCGUGCAUUGACCGCAUGGGAAAUGCACUAAAUGCGAAGGCACGGGAUGGGGAUGCGUUCCAUUAGGUUGUUGGCGGGGUAACGGCCCACCAAGCCUUCGAUGGAUAGGGGUUCUGAGAGGAAGGUCCCCCACAUUGGAACUGAGACACGGUCCAAACUCCUACGGGAGGCAGCAGUGAGGAAUAUUGGUCAAUGGGCGGAAGCCUGAACCAGCCAAGUAGCGUGAGGGAUGACGGCCCUACGGGUUGUAAACCUCUUUUAUGCGGGGAUAAAGUGCGCCACGCGUGGCGUUUUGCAGGUACCGCAUGAAUAAGGACCGGCUAAUUCCGUGCCAGCAGCCGC
rnacentral:rRNA from 1 species